rnacentral:tRNA from 1 species
UACCCCUUGGCCCNGGCGCC